UGAAGCCGCGAAUAGCUCAUUACAACAGCCACCGUUUACUAGAAUAUAGUUAUCCUACUUGGAUAACUGUGGCAAUUCUAGAGCUAAUACAUGCAAAAAAGCUCUGCCCGCAAGGAACGAGCGCAUUUAUUAGAAUAAAAACCAAUCGGGUUUCGGCCCGUAAUUUGGUGAAUCUGAAUAACUUUGCCAAUCGCACAGUCCUAGUACUGGCGAUGUAUCUUUCAAGUGUCUGCCUUAUCAACUUUCGAUGGUAGGUUAUACGCCUACCAUGGUAGUAACGGGUAACGGAGAAUAAGGGUUCGACUCCGAAGAGGGGAGCCUGAGAAACGGCUACCACAUCCAAGGAAGGCAGCAGGCGCGCAAAUUACCCACUUCCAGAACGGAGAGGUAGUGACGAAAAAUAACGAGACAGUCCUCUUCGAGGUCUGUCAUCGGAAUGGGUACAAUUUAAAUCCUUUAACGAGGAUCUAUUGGAGGGCAAGUCUGGUGCCAGCAGCCGCGGUAAUUCCAGCUCCAAUAGC
rnacentral:rRNA from 1 species